UCCUUCCAAAAAUUCAUGUAAAAUUGCAUUAUCUAUGAAUUCCAUUUCUCUGCAAACAUUUCGAAAUACUCUCAUAUUCCUGCUGACGACGCUGUUCUCUGUGUGCUUGCAAAACUCCCUAGUCUGCUGCAUUCAUGGCUCGCAGUGACUUCCACUUAGGAGCCUUGCCCAGGUGAAUCUGGGCUCUGGACUGUGAGGUGACAGCGUGCUUUGGUAGCAAGGUCUCUACCCUUUAUGCUAAUGGUUGCCUCUGUCCACGUGUCCACGUUAUCUCUGAUUGCCACACUUUUCUGUUGCAUUGAUAGGACUCAGAGAGCCUACUGAUAUUUUUCAGCUCACUCUUGUCUCCCUCAUCACAGGUGAGUUCCCCAUAAGGAAGAUGUCCACAGAGACUCAAAAUGCCCUCAGAGUCACCUCGCAGUGGGAGGGAGUGCAUUUGGUGAUGCCCAAGGUCAGGGUGCAGGACUCUGCAUGAGACUUUCGUGUGUUCUCCGUUUCUUGAGGGUUAAUGGUGAAUAUAGGAAAGCAACAAAAUAUGACUACUGUAUCAGCUUACCAUGUGAGUGGAACCUCUGCACCACCAUGAUCAGCCUUCAUGGAAGCCAAACUAUGGGCCCACCUAUCCUGAACUGUAACCUCAAACUGUAAAGUGAAAUAAACCAUUUCUUUCCUAAGAAGCUUCUCUUGGGUAUUUUAGUUAAGGUAAUGACAAUGGACUCAUGCAGAAAAUUGGUACUGAGACGUCGCAUUGUUAGUAUUAACCACACCGGAAGAUGUGGGGGAGCCUUUGGAAUUGGUAUACUGGGGAAGCUUGGAAGAGUUUGGAGUGGAGCCUGGGGAAGCCUAGAAAGCAAUAAGCUGAGUAUUAUGGGCAGUUUUGAUGGGGCUCUGAAGACUAGAAUGCUGUUGGAAAUAUAGAGGAUAAGGAUUGCGGGUAGGUUUCAGAUGGAAAUGAGAAUCCUAUUGGGAAUUGGACCAAGGAGCACUUCCGCUGAACUGGACCAAGGAACCUGGCUGUUUUGUGUCUCUGCCCUGGGACAGUGCAUCGGACUUAAAGAUGGUGGACUGGGUUGUUUGGCAGAGGAGAUGUCAAGGCAGCCAAGUGUUCCAGCUACCCUGGGUGUUGAUGGCUGCUCUUAAUACAUUUACAGUGAGAACCAGGGGUAAAAAGGACAGAGUAAAAGGAUUUGGAGAAUUUGCAGCCUGAUCAUAGACUGAAUGAAGACAAAGCUGUGUGUUUGGGACAGGAAAAUGCCAUAGAGAAACUGUUUGCUAAAGAUCUAAGCUCAGGCAAAAGGAAGCCAUGUGUAAUGAGCCAAUGUGAGAAAGACCCUGAAGGCAUCCCGCAUGUCUUCAAGGCUGCUCCUGUCAUCAGAGGCCCCUCCAGGAAGUGCAACUUUACUUCAAAGAAGGAGCCCCAGGGCACCCUGCUCACUCUGCACCAGCUCUGGAUUUUGGUUGGCUGGGUCCAAGUCUGCCUCUUACUGGUGGCAGACCUUGACCUUGUCCAUGUGGUGCUAGCUUUACAGGCCUGCAAAACUCAAGUUAUGGCGUCAUGGUGAUAAAGAGUGGAGACAGACAGAUUCUUGAUGCAGGCAGACAGAGAGGGAUAGGGGGUCUGCGAGGAAGGAUCCUGCAGUUGUAGAUGAUGUUAAUCAACCCAGAGUUCCGACCACCAAGGACCUGCCUGAGCACCAGCUUUCUCUGUAGCAAAUGAGUUACCCUGGCUCUGACCUCCGGUGACUUACAAUGAACACUUCAGUCCUCACUUGGUUAGCGUAUCUAUGCAAAAAGGGGAUUCUGGCAGCUGCUCCCUGAGUGGCCACUGAAGAUUUUCAUCUUACUGACAUAUAUAGCCAUCAAUCAGGGUAAGUUCCCCCAUUGAAAACAUAAAAACAGGGCCCUGCCCUGGGUGCAGCAGGUGAAGCUGCUCCACUUCCUAUCCAGUUACUUGCUAAUGCACCUGGGAAAGCAGUGGAAAAUGGCUCAAGGCCUUGGGCCCCUGUACCCAAGCCAGAGACCCUUACAGCUCCUGGCUCUUGGCUUCCACUUGGC